UGAAUCAUCAAAUUUUUGAACGCAAAUUGCACUCUCUUCGGAGAGUAUGCCUGUUUGAGGGCCAGCCUAAAAAAAAAUCGACAUAGUCGCUGUUUCGCGGUGACAUUCGUCGGAAAUUGGGUCAUCUUAAACCUUUGGGUUUUAAGCGGCUUAAAAUUUUCUUUACGAUUCCACGAACGUUUCUAGGUUUUAUUCUUUUUACUUUUAAGUUUCGGUUCUUUAUUAAAC
rnacentral:misc_RNA from 1 species